CCCGCCGGCAAAAACAAGGGGCUACUGGAGGCACUGAAACGUUAACACCGCUCUGGGAGGCUCCUCUCUCCUCCUUAGAAAGGCAGCGGGGGCAAGGAAACAGACUGGCCCCCAAAAGCUUAAGUGAACCAGGAAAUUCGUUGGUGGCAAAGGAAUACAGCGCAAGGACUUUCUAGAUUUUUCUCUGCUCCCACAAUGGUUAGGAAAUGAUUAGCUUUCAAAACGAAAAAAAAAAAAAAAAGGCCCUCAAGGUGUUUGCAUCACUUCAGGAGGGAAAGCUUUCAGAAAAACCACCAAAUUUUGCAAGAAUUGCCAUGAAGUCGGAAGAGGUAGCAGUAGUGCUGUCUUGGAGAAAAGACUUGGCAUCGCCCACUUUUCCUCCUCCCCCACCUCCAACCCCGGGAGGCUCCAGCCCAAGACAUGGGGGAAGGAGAAGGACAGAGCCAUGGCAUUCUCUUUGCAAUAUGAGGAGAACCAAAGCAGAGAAUUGGGUAGAUCCUGUGCUCCUGACUGCAGCCUGCCUGGUCCUGACGUGGGCAACAUAAAUUAGGAAAGCUCCUUAUUUUGGAUCCGUCAUUCACUGCAGUCACACAAUGGUCAGUCACAAUCCAUCUUAAGAGCUUUGAAAUCCUUGGAAGGUAUUAGAGAUGUGCUGAGCAUUUUGUUAAUUGUUUAUUGUAGAGGCACAGUGCAAUGACAGUACAUAGGAAAGAAAUACAUUAAAGAAUUUCUAUUGUCCCUUCUCAAUUAAUUUCCUCAAAAUCAUUUCUUUUUUAGAUUAUUUCUUCCUCCUGUAUAGAAGAACUUAAGGACUUCACCUCAUCAUGAUUCCUCAGCACUCCAAAGGAGGUAACUGGACUCAAUAACCAUGCUUCUUUGUGUCAUUUAUUCAACAGUUCUUGUAGGUAUUACUGAAAUAAGCAGAGCAGCAAGACGACAUAUUUUGUAGUCUACAUACUAGCCGAUAAGACCCAAAGAACAAGAUAAUCUCUUUGAUAUCAUGCUCCUGCAUGUAAAGCUGCUUGUCAGGAGCUGGAGUUAGAUGGCAUAGGUGCUCUGAUGUUAUGCGCCAUACAUGCUUCUAUGAAAACUGGGAAACCAGAUUACAGUGUACUUUCAGAUAUUCCUUUGCAGAUGAACAAAUGAGGUAGACAUAAAAUCUGAGAUACUUCAUGCUUCCCUGUACAUCUCAAGCAUUAUCAGGAUGAAAGAGUUCCAUUUUAGAGAAAGGACAUCUAGGAAAUGCUGCAUGGUAGGACUCAUAGCAAAUGCUAUUGAAGAUUGUUUAUGUUAAAAGAAAAGAGAAAAGACAACAUAACCUUUAGAAGAACAUGUGUGUAACAGAAGGUAUCAACAUCCUCUGCUAGAACUAUCUGAGAAAAUCAUGUUAUGAAAUUAACCCAACUUUCUAGAUCCAAAUUCUAUCUUAAGCCAUGAAACAAUUUUCACACCAAUAUAAAUAUUACGGGGAAUGUAGAGGCUUCUGAAAACGUCACUUUAAACAGAAAAGAUCAUUGUUCCACUUCCACUGCCCUAUAAUAUGCCUACUGAAAAUCCUGAAAAUCAGGAUACCUUCUAUUAAAUGAGAAAAGAAAAAACGAUAAAUAUAUUUUUUAAGUAAAUAAGAAGUCAUUCUGUAUGAAAACAAGGCCUGCAUCAUGAGAAGAAUCAUCUGACGUGGAGCGGUUGUACUGGAAGGUCUAGUGUUUAUAAAUGUGUCUCAGCUGGAGACAGCUGUUGAACUUUUGAAAUGGAAGAGAUUUUUCCUGUAUACUCUGGAAAGGCUUCAAAGUACACACAGCAAGCAAAUUCCACAAACACAAUGGGCCUAUUUCAGCCAGUGUUCACCUAAACUUUUACUCCAGUUUGAUUCAUUCUGGCGCCAAAAAUGACAUCUAUAAACUGAUUUUCAUUUGCAUUUGAUCCUUUCCCACUGAAGUGCUUGGGAAGUUGUCUUUUAAAGAGUGAAAUCUGAGUCUUAAAAAUCUCAGCUAGACAUAUGCUAAAAAUGUCAGAGAAUGAAACCUCUAUUUCCAUCGAACUUUGAUCUUUCCAAAGAGAAGCCAUGUAGGAUAAGGACAAGGAACCCCAUCCUUGAAGCUAUUUUAUAAAACAGCUUCUGACUAUUAGGAUGAAAUUUCUAGUUAAUACUUUCUCCAAAUAAGUACUGAUUAGUUCUAUAAAGAUAAAAGCCUUAGAAGUAAAUAUUUAACACUAUUAAAAUCUAGACGUUUAGCAUUGUGCAGUGUCUUCCCUGGCUGCUACUAUACGCUACACACUAUCAGCAAAAACACACGCCUGAGACGCAAAAGAAUAUUACACCUCAAAAAAUUACGUAUCUGUUACAAUUUAAUCUUUGAGAGUUGUAUGAAAAAAUACUUGGACAAAGGUUAUUCUAAUGUAUUUUAUCCUACGUGACAGAUCAUUAUGUUGCUUUUGUCACCGUACUAUCUGAACACUUCUCAGCACAUUAAGAACUGCAACUAAAAGUUGACAGAUUUAUUCUCUUGUUCUCUCUCUGAAAGAGAAGUGCAAAUAAGCUAGAUGAUUGUUUUGCUACUUUGUCUUUAGACGUAUCUGCAGAUAUUUUUAAUUUUCACUUUGGAAGAUAAAAUUGAAGUACAUUUUGAACUUGGUUGAAAAAUUAGUGAGUUUCACAGUGGACUUUAAUUCUUACAGGAAUCCUUUCCAGGGUCUCACCUUGGCGUCCUCCGUCUCUUGCUACUGUGUCUAAUGAGUUAGGUUAUUUCUGUUUCCAGAACUCAGACUCUUAUUUAGAAAUACUGGGCUCCAAUCACCGAGUAACCUGAGCUAAGGACUAACGCUUUGAACAUGACAUAACAUUCUGCAGAAAGGCAAUGCAGAGAGUAAGAGAAAGUUUGAUGUGUUCCUCCUGGUAGCUCACAUUACCCAUGCUGCAUCAUUUUUUAUUAGCUGGCGUUUCUUAAGAGCCACUGUUCAUUACUCUUCUCUCAGCCUGAGUUAAAACCUAUUUAAACUGGAAGUAAGACAAACUUAGAAAAUUCAAAAAAUUUCAAAAAAUACCUACAAAUAAAAAUAAUUACAGGCAAAGAUGGGA
ensembl:lncRNA